GUGGGGAAUAUUGGACAAUGGGCGAAAGCCUGAUCCAGCAACGCCGCGUGAGGGAUGACGGCCUUCGGGUUGUAAACCUCUUUCAGUACCGACGAAGCGCCAACAACGGUGGUGACGGUAGGUACAGAAGAAGGACCGGCCAACUACGUGCCAGCAGCCGCGGUAAUACGUAGGGUCCGAGCGUUGUCCGGAAUUAUUGGGCGUAAAGGGCUCGUAGGCGGUCUGUUGCGUCGGGAGUGAAAACUUACAGCUUAACUGUGAGCGUGCUUCCGAUACGGGCAGACUUGAGGCAUUCAGGGGAGAACGGAAUUCCUGGUGUAGCGGUGAAAUGCGCAGAUAUCAGGAGGAACACCGGUGGCGAAGGCGGUUCUCUGGGAAUGUCCUGACGCUGAGGAGCGAAAGUGUGGGGAGCGAACAGG
rnacentral:rRNA from 1 species